rnacentral:rRNA from 1 species
AUUGAACGCUGGCGGCAGGCCUAACACAUGCAAGUCGAGCGGAUCGGCGGCCGGGUGAGUAAUGCCUAGGAAUCUGCCUGGUCGUGAGGGAUAACGUCCGGAAACGGGCGCUAAUACCGCAUCCUAUCAGAUGCGCCUCGGUCGGAUUAGCUAGUUGGUGGGGUAAAGGCCUACCAAGGCGACGGUCCGUAACGGGUCUGAGAGGAUGAUCAGUCACACUGGAACUGAGACACGGUCCAGACUCCUACGGGAGGCAGCAGUGGGGAAGAUUGGACAAUGGGCGAAAGCCUGAUGCAGCCAUGCCGCGUGUGUGAAGAAGGUCUUCGGAUUGUAAAGCACUUUAAGUGGGGAGGCGUUACUAACAGAAUAAGCACCGGCUAACUCCGUGCCAGCAGCCGCGGUAAUUC